rnacentral:sRNA from 1 species
AUUUGAAAUUAUACUUAUACUCGACCAACAGAAGCUACAGAGACUUGCAUGGAGUUUAACAAGUUUACAGAGGAUUAUAGAAGGUUCUAGUUAACAGGGAACAGUGCUUCAGGACAAACAGACCAAGUGCGGCCCACCUUCUCUCCUCUUUGUCCCCCCCCCA